rnacentral:rRNA from 1 species
GACGAACGCUGGCGGCGUGCUUAACACAUGCCAGUCGAACGGAAAGGCCCUGCUUUUGUGGGGUGCUCGAGUGGCGAACGGGUGAGUAACACGUGAGUAACCUGCCCUUGACUUUGGGAUAACUUCAGGAAACUGGGGCUAAUACCGGAUAGGAGCUCCUGCUGCAUGGUGGGGGUUGGAAAGUUUCGGCGGUUGGGGAUGGACUCGCGGCUUAUCAGCUUGUUGGUGGGGUAGUGGCCUACCAAGGCUUUGACGGGUAGCCGGCCUGAGAGGGUGACCGGCCACAUUGGGACUGAGAUACGGUCCAGACUCCUACGGGAGGCAGCAGUGGGGAAUAUUGCACAAUGGGCGGAAGCCUGAUGCAGCAACGCCGCGUGCGGGAUGACGGCCUUCGGGUUGUAAACCGCUUUCGCCUGUGACGAAGCGUGAGUGACGGUAAUGGGUAAAGAAGCACCGGCUAACUACGUG